CUGAGCUAUCUCCCCAGCCCCACAGAAUUUUAAUUAAGGGCCGGGGAGAUGGCUCAG
rnacentral:miRNA from 1 species